UUUUGCAUUAGGAUUAUUGGCCAAAAUACCAUUUCCUACGGCAUGUAAUAAGUGAGUUUUACCUAGACCAGUUCCUCCAUA
rnacentral:antisense_RNA from 1 species